rnacentral:rRNA from 1 species
AUGUCUUCCUCAAGCUCCCGCACCACCUCGCGGAUGCAGAGCCGGGCGCAUAUGGACAUGUCAGUCUUCGUCUGUCCGCGGUGCCGGGCGGGUGUUGAUCGGAGGGUUUCUCACACACCGAGGAACCAUAAUCGUCCAUUCUACGUGUGCAACAAGAAUGGGGUGAAAUGCUUCUUUCUUUGGAUCGAUGCUCUAGCCAAUAAUCUGAUGAAUGAACUGCAAGAAGAGCAUGAAGAAUGGUUGUGCAUGCUGCCACGAACAGCAGUGGCCGCAGCACGAGCUCCGGAAGAAGAGAUGGAGGGCGAAGCACGCACUGACAGGGAGCUAGCUGUUGAGCUUAGGAUGUUGAAGAAGAAGGUUAGGAAGCUUGAAGAUCGAGCACAAAUACCAAUACCCAUUUGCCAUUACUUUUGGGAAUUUGUAUGUAUGGUAAUCGCACUGGUUGUAAUGUUGAAAUUGUAUGGAAAGGCAUGA